UAGAAGGCAUCGGAAAUGAAUUAAAGAUUUAUCGGUGAUGGAUGGGGAUGCGUCUGAUUAGCUUGUUGGCGGGGUAACGGCCCACCAAGGCGACGAUCAGUAGGGGUUCUGAGAGGAAGGUCCCCCACAUUGGAACUGAGACACGGUCCAAACUCCUACGGGAGGCAGCAGUGAGGAAUAUUGGUCAAUGGGCGAGAGCCUGAACCAGCCAAGUAGCGUGCAGGAUGACGGCCCUAUGGGUUGUAAACUGCUUUUAUAGGGGAAUAAAGUGAGCCACGUGUGGUUUUUUGCAUGUACCCUAUGAAUAAGGACCGGCUAAUUCCGUGCCAGCAGCCGCGGUAAUACGGAAGGUCCGGGCGUUAUCCGGAUUUAUUGGGUUUAAAGGGAGCGUAGGCCGGAGAUUAAGCGUGUUGUGAAAUGUAGAUGCUCAACAUCUGCACUGCAGCGCGAACUGGUUUCCUUGAGUACGCAUAAAGUGGGCGGAAUUCGUGGUGUAGCGGUGAAAUGCUUAGAUAUCACGAAGAACUCCGAUUGCGAAGGCAGCUCACUGGGGCGCAACUGACGCUGAAGCUCGAAAGCGCGGGUAUCGAACAGGAUUAGAUACCCUGGUAGUCCGCGCGGUAAACGAUGGAUGCCCGCUGUUGGGCCAACUGGUUCAGCGGCCAAGCGAAAGCAUUAAGCAUCCCACCUGGGG
rnacentral:rRNA from 1 species